rnacentral:rRNA from 1 species
GGCUCAGGUUGAACGCUGGCGGCAUGCCUUACACAUGCAAGUCGAACGGCAGCACGGGUGCUUGCACCUGGUGGCGAGUGGCGAACGGGUGAGUAAUAUAUCGGAACGUGCCCAGUCGUGGGGGAUAACGUAGCGAAAGUUACGCUAAUACCGCAUACGAUCUACGGAUGAAAGCGGGGGAUCGCAAGACCUCGCGCGAUUGGAGCGGCCGAUAUCAGAUUAGGUAGUUGGUGGGGUAAAGGCUCACCAAGCCAACGAUCUGUAGCUGGUCUGAGAGGACGACCAGCCACACUGGAACUGAGACACGGUCCAGACUCCUACGGGAGGCAGCAGUGGGGAAUUUUGGACAAUGGACGCAAGUCUGAUCCAGCCAUUCCGCGUGCAGGAUGAAGGCCCUCGGGUUGUAAACUGCUUUUGUACGGAACGAAAAGGUUUCUAUUAAUACUAGGAGCUCAUGACGGUACCGUAAGAAUAAGCACCGGCUAACUACGUG